AUUUAUGUAAAUGUUGAUCCAAAUUUUUGAUUAUAAGAAUAAAUUACCUUAGGGAUAACAGCGUAAUUAAUUUGAAGAGUUCAUAUCGAUAAAUAUGAUUGCGACCUCGAUGUUGGAUUAAGAAUAGGGAUUGGAGCAAAAUUUAUUAUUUCUGGGUCUGUUCGACCCUUAAUAUUCUUACAUGAUCUGAGUUCAGACCGGCGUG
rnacentral:rRNA from 1 species